UAACCUUUAUAGGAUAACACCCUGUAUUACUAUCAAAUACUUGAUUAUUCACAAUCAUUGGUUGUUAUAAGUGUGUCGUUUUCCCUUCAUCAUCAUUGUCAUCAUCAUCAUAGCUAACACUUAUGUAGUGCUUAUAAUGUG
rnacentral:pre_miRNA from 1 species